rnacentral:rRNA from 1 species
UACCAGCACCCCGAGUGGUCGGGACGAUUAUUGGGCCUAAAGCAUCCGUAGCCGGUCCUACAAGUCUUCCGUUAAAUCCACCUGCUCAACAGAUGGGCUGCGGAAGAUACUAUAGGGCUAGGAGGCGGGAGAGGCAAGCGGUACUCAGUGGGUAGGGGUAAAAUCCGUUGAUCCAUUGAAGACCACCAGUGGCGAAGGCGGCUUGCCAGAACGCGCUCGACGGUGAGGGAUGAAAGCUGGGGGAGCAAACCGG